ACCAUUCCUUCCCGGCUGAAAUACUUUCCCACCCCGAAGGCCUUCUUCACUCACCCGGAAGGGCUGGAUCAGGGUUGCCCCCAUUGUCCAAAAUUCCCCACUGCUGCCUCCCGUAG
rnacentral:rRNA from 1 species